CAACGGCUCGCCGGCGGCCGUUAGCGCCGCGCGCCGCCUCCCCGUGCCGGCCCCGGUCCUCAAACUCAGCCACCGCGCGCACCCGUGUCGCUCCUGUGGGCCAGUCCCAAGCUCGGGGCACCCCACUUAGCUGCUUCUAGACCUGUGUAUACAUAUAUACAUACACGGAUAUAUAUUCGAAAUCUGCUGGCAGAGCAACGCUGCAGAACAUCUCGGGCCUCGUAGCUGUCUUGCUGAGGAACGCAGUGCCCUCUAACACCAGGAUGUGGCAACCAUAGUGCUGCACUGAUUACACGUCUCCUGCCUGUCAGCGGGAGCCCAGGCUUCACUCAGAGAAACAACACCAGGCUUAUUAAUGCACUUGUCUGUCAGCUGCCUUUGAGACAGAGGUUGUUCAAGGACAGAGCCACCUUCAAAAUCACAUUGCUGAUUUGGUUAAACGUCUGCGAGCAGAGACACACAGUGCUUGAAUGAUAUCACAGGUAGCUCUAUUAUUCCAGCCCUUGCCUAUCUUUUGGAUGUAUUUGUUUUAGACAGAGGAGCAUUUCUUUCAAGUGAGGUCCCCAAAACAGCAAUCACGGUACAUUGCCCCUUUGGCCUAUGCCUUCUCUUCUCCUCCACAAAUCUCAAAACUCCCCUCGCCUCUGCCCUUCUCUUUACCUACCUGCCUAUGAGCUGGCUUGGGGAUCACUGUGCCAUGCUGCCACACAGCCCUGGGCGUUCUUUGCUCUUGGGCAUGUUUCUCAUGCAAGUUGGCAUAUAGUCAGCCAAGUCCUCCCGUAUGCUCUCACUAAGUGUGUAACUCAUUAAUUUUAAGGAGUUUUAAGUUCACUGGGAGAGACAUUUAGGUUAGCCAAGCAGGAUUGCGAGACCAUAUCACGGGGGUAAAUUCUGCCUUCCGGAGAAAUGUCUUUCACUUGAUCUUAAUUAUUUCCAGUCAAUGUUACUGUGAAAUUUGGUUGGGUCAGCAAGUUUUUAAAGCUUUAACAUGAUUUCCCACCCUCACCUUUUCUAAUUCUCUUAAAAAUUCUGUGUUGAAGGUUAAAAUUUCAUAUUUAAGAGGAAGAACCUUGACAUUUCUUCUCUCAUUUCUGAUCACAAAUGCAUUUUAUUUUUCUAUGCAGUCUCUCUCAUUAAAUGAGAGCCAGGUUUGCAUAAACCAGCUGUCUUUACAAAAGAUUACAAAUGAUACAAAUAUAUAUAAAAUCAUAACCACAGUUCUGUCUGUAGAGACAUGAAUCAAGCUCCCAUUUUGCCUAUUGUCAAAGCUAGAAAUCCUCCCUGCCAAAACACUUAGACCACCUUCAGCCUCAAUUUCAAAACACUCAUUAAUCUAUAUUGUAUGGUCAAAUAAUGCUCAAACUUGCCCAAGGAUUUAAGAAUCAGACUUGGAAUUCUGAGUAAAUCAUAGCUCUGAGUUCCUUGUGCAAUGAAAGAGACUUACAUGUUAUUAGAGGACAGAGGCUAAACCUUGUGCUGGUGGGGAACUGACAAAUAAAAAAAAACUUACUCUGCACAGAGUUGAUUGAAUACUGCCUUGUGCCCCAAAAUCAUUUUGUCAUGCUAUCACCUAUGAAAACCAAGGCUCACAUUCCUAUUUUACAGCAAUAUCAGAAUGAGGCCAAUGACUGCAAAGCAAUGUACAAGAGGUAUAUAUCCAGGCCCCAACUUAGCUUGCAAAAGCUGUCAAACUGUCUUUUAAAAGUGAGGAAAACAAUUCUGUAUUCUUCUAAUCAGCUGUUCCCAUACAUGGACUUUGCCAGGGCUCUAUACUACUUGCACCUUUUGUUUUUUUCCCCAUAUAUCUAGGUACAGAAGAUUUAGCCCUGGUGUCACAGUGCCAAGGCAAUAAAUGGUUGCAGUUUGGGUAGUGCUCUUCACCUGGGAAUCACACCUCUUCUAUAUUCCAAGGGAAUGGAGGCUGAGCUGAAACUAUCAACUUACACAACAGAAUUGUAUGAACAACUGGCUUAGGAUUUUAACACCACUGGAGAAACAACAACUCUGUUAUACAACCUUUCACUUAAACAUCUUUAAAAAUUCUGUAAAAUUAAAACCAAAAAUACAAAAAAGCAGUGGCAGGACUGUUAAUUGGAAAAAAAAAAAAAAAAAAAAAAAAAGAAAGUCACCAAAAGACAAUUUACAUGAAGAUUUUAAUUUAAUAUUGAAGGCUCCUUGAGGCACCACUUUAGGGAAUACUAUUUUUAAGUAGCUGAACAUUCUCUUCUGGUUGCAGAUAUUUCCUAUGUUUUUUACACUUAGAAUGAAAAAAGGCUCAGACAUCUUUGGAGACAAACAAUACAAAUAAAAGACAAAAAUCAGAAUAAAAAAUACAAUUUUAAUUGUAACCUUUUCAUUGCUUUUUCAUGCGUGUCAUUUGAAACAAUUAAGAAAUGGCAUUAUUAAAGUAGUCUAGUCUACAUUUUGGAUCAAUGCUAUGGAUCUUCCGGUGAGUUAUCUGUAUACCUGAAAGCAAAAUUUGUCUGCAUUGGGGUUGAUGCACAUGCUAUUGCUCAGUUUGACUUCAUCAGUAUUACUUACAGUAAUAAAGUUAAAUGCAAGUAUAAAUAUA